GGGCUAGGGGAGAAGAUAAGGAAAUGCUAAGUCUGUUGUAGCAUUUAGGCUGGAACCAUACCGCACCUGUUCAAUCCGGCUCCAGUGCCAGAAAUGACCAGAACACCGACUUGAAAGCCCCUCUUGAGAUCCCAGGGGUGCCUAACAAGUUCGCCGCUGAUUAAUACUGGGGGAGGGUGGUGGGAGAUGUCUCCCAAUAUCGCCAAAUUCAGCGCGUUCCCCCGAAAAAAGGACGGGGCUCCUGAAUAAGUGAACCCAGAAUGAACCCCCGGUGUCACUGCGGCCCCGGGAUCGGAGUGGCGAGCUGUCCGUCGGUCAGACAGAGCAGCGAACGGUCACCAAACCACCAGCCUCUAGAAACAGCUCCACAGCCCGCGCAGCCUUGCAGCCGCGCUAUCGCAGGCCCGAAGCCCGGGAGCAGCGGCGCCCCCCGAUUGGGGCGCGGGUCCCGGCGCAGUACGCGUUGGAGUCGGAGAGAGGCGCAGAGAAAGAAGACUGCUCGGUGACUGCCGCGGCUCCGGGAGGCUGCAGGCCCCGCCCGCCGGCCGCCCAAGCUCUUCCCCUUUUCUCUCCACCCCCUUGCUCUAUCCCGCACGCCCUGCAGGGAAGCCAGACCGGUUUAGAGCAGCAGCCCGGCGGCAUCCUCCGCGGAAGUCGGACUGAGCUCCAGAGUGGUCGCACGUGGACUCGGCUCUCGGACCCGCGGUCGGAUGAUACCCGGGACGGAGAGCGGGGGUGAGGCGGACCGAAUCCUAUACGACUCCAGAGCUAGACAGGAGCUUCCCGGCAGUUCUCAAAAUCCUGCGUCCUGGCUAAACAGGACUGUGUUUGGGAUAGGGCUCCCCCCAUCCUCAGGCAGUUGAACUCUGCACUGAGUCGCCCGGUCUCCUGCCCACUGGACUCCGCUUCCUGCAAUUCCCUCACUGAAGCACUGGUGCCCCCUCCACCAGAAAGGGACGGUGUGUCCCCUUCUAAAAACACAACACUGAUGGAAAACGUGGGAUACGUUCAGUACGUGGAAAACCAACAACUCAUUGUCCUUGUCCUCAAAUAUCGCUGGCCAGUGUCUGCUCUGAAAUCCCAGGAGAGGAAAAUAAAUUUGCUCCCCAGAGAGGCCGUGAAUCUUGCCAUCACUCUGAGAACAGGCACGCUGGAGGAUGAAAGACCCUGUGAAGCAGAGCUGAAUCAUGGCAGCCGAGGCCACCCUGCCCAGACAGGGUGCAGAGACCCAAGCAAGUCCAAGUGAGAUCAGCCAAGCUUGGUUCAGACCAGCAGAACCACCCACCCAACUGAUAGAUUCACUAGAAACAAUAUUGGGUCGGUCAAAAAGUCUGUGUGGUUUUUUUCUGUAAAAUAAAAGACACGUUUUUCAUUCUCA